rnacentral:rRNA from 1 species
UACGUAGGGGGCAAGCGUUGUCCGGAAUCAUUGGGCGUAAAGCGCGCGUAGGCGGCUUUGUAAGUUAGAGGUGAAAGCCCGGGGCUCAACCCCGGAACUGCCUUUAAGACUGCAUCGCUUGAAUCCGGGAGAGGUGAGUGGAAUUCCGAGUGUAGAGGUGAAAUUCGUAGAUAUUCGGAAGAACACCAGUGGCGAAGGCGGCUCACUGGACCGGUAUUGACGCUGAUGUGCGAAAGCGUGGGGAGCAAACAGG